rnacentral:rRNA from 1 species
GAGCAGCCGCGGUAAUACGGAGGGGGCUAGCGUUGUUCGGAAUUACUGGGCGUAAAGCGCACGUAGGCUGCUUUGUAAGUCAGAGGUGAAAGCCCGGGGCUCAACCCCGGAUGUGCCUUUGAGACUGCAGGGCUAGAACGUCGGAGAGGUGAGUGGAAUUCCGAGUGUAGAGGUGAAAUUCGUAGAUAUUCGAAAGAACACCAGUGGCGAAGGCGGCUCACUGGACGACUGUUGACGCUGAGGUGCGAAAGCGUGGGGAGCGAACAGGAUUAGAUACCCCCGUAGUCCCUGUCUCUUAUACA